rnacentral:rRNA from 1 species
AUUGAACGCUGGCGGCAUGCCUUACACAUGCAAGUCGAACGGCAGCACGGGAGCUUGCUCCUGGUGGCGAGUGGCGAACGGGUGAGUAAUGCAUCGGAACGUGCCCUGAAGUGGGGGAUAACGUAGCGAAAGUUACGCUAAUACCGCAUAUUCUGUGAGCAGGAAAGCAGGGGAUCUUCGGACCUUGCGCUUUUGGAGCGGCCGAUGUCGGAUUAGCUAGUUGGUGGGUAAAGGCCCACCAAGGCGACGAUCCGUAGCGGGUCUGAGAGGAUGAUCCGCCACACUGGAACUGAGACACGGUCCAGACUCCUACGGGAGGCAGCAGUGGGGAAUUUUGGACAAUGGGCGCAAGCCUGAUCCAGCCAUGCCGCGUGAGUGAGG